AACGAGCUCACGACGCGUUUUUGGCUAAAAACGGUAUUCCGGAUGCCACUGUCAAAUCAAAGACCAUACCUAGGAGUUAUAUUUAGUUAAAAAAGUGUUCGGGUUCAUAUUAUGUAACAAAAAUAUAAAGGU